GAUGAACGCUGGCGGCGUGCCUAAUACAUGCAAGUCGAGCUAACGGACGAGAAGCUUGCUUCUCUGAUGUUAGCGGCGGACGGGUGAGUAACACGUGGAUAACCUACCUAUAAGACUGGGAUAACUUCGGGAAACCGUAGCUAAUACCGGAUAAUAUUUUGAACCGCAUGGUUCAAAAGUGAAAGACGGUCUUGCUGUCACUUAUAGAUGGAUCCGCGCUGCAUUAGCUAGUUGGUAAGGUAACGGCUUACCAAGGCAACGAUGCAUAGCCGACCUGAGAGGGUGAUCGGCCACACUGGAACUGAGACACGGUCCAGACUCCUACGGGAGGCAGCAGUAGGGAAUCUUCCGCAAUGGGCGAAAGCCUGACGGAGCAACGCCGCGUGAGUGAUGAAGGUCUUCGGAUCGUAAAACUCUGUUAUUAGGGAAGAACAUAUGUGUAAGUAACUGUGCACAUCUUGACGGUACCUAAUCAGAAAGCCACGGCUAACUACGUG
rnacentral:rRNA from 1 species